rnacentral:lncRNA from 1 species
CCCGCUCUAGCAACAUGAUAAGAUGCAUGAAAAAGAAAUGUAUUUAAUGCCACCAAGUGGUCCUUGAUGGACAUAAAGAUUCAGUCCCAUCAUAGCUGGUGGUUUGGCUCCCUUAAGCUAAAACCACCAGCUACAGCUUGUUCCUAGCUUCCGGUUUCCUUCAAAUUUCUGGCACCUAGUCCGCUACUCUCUUUAUAAGCAAAUCCCAGUUUGCCAUUUACACCAUCGACACGAAUUCUCAAUUACAUCUCAUCCUUUUCAACUAAAAAUCUCACAUCAACGAGUUUCCAACUAUUGUUCUAUUUUAUAUUACAGAGAAAAUGAGUUCAGCAAGUAAAGCUUGGUUGGUAGCUGCUGCUAUUGGAGGUGUUGAGGCCUUGAAAGACCAAGGCUUCUGUAGGUGGAACUACACAUUGAGAUCGCUACACCAACAUGCCAAGAACCAUGUCGGGUCAAUUUCUCAGGCUAAUAAGAAGCUCCCUUAUUCAUCUUCUGCCAUUAUUUCAAAUAAAUUCAAGGAAGAGAAGAUGAAACAGUCAGAGGAGUCUCUAAGAAAAGUCAUGUAUUUGAGUUGUUGGGGUCCUAACUGAUACUCUCAAGAAAAAGGAAAUUCUGAGGAAAUCAGUUCAUAGGAUUAGAGUAAAUUUUUGCAAGUUGAUUUAAACUGUAAAUGCUUGUGCUGACAAUCAAAUAUAUCUCAUUUUAUUGGCAAAAUUUUGGGAAAAUGGCCUUAAAGUAACAUUAACAAAGGAUAUGGCUCAUGUUAAAAAAAACACCAGCAACUCAAUUGGAGGAGGAGUUGUAUCACAGAAGCUAAAUAUCUUGAUAAGUUGAUAAAUUAGGACAAAUCUUAAACUGGAAUUCUCAAUUUCAGUUUGGCCCAGAAGAAAAUUAGUUUAGGAAUAUUUCUUUACUCACAAGUGUUCACGGCAGGGUGAUGAUCACUGUAUGUGAAAUGAAAACGCUGUGUUUGUUUUCCGGAAAGUGGUUUCCGGGAAAGCACUUUCCAAACUUUCUCGUGUUUGUUUGCCAGUAGGAAAGUUGGUCAAUGGAAAACACUUUCCAGUAAAAGGAAAAUUUGGCUUGGUUUUCAGGAAAGUGUUUUCCUGAAAAAUUUGAGGGGAAAACACUUUCCAGAAGUUGUGAAAAUUUUAGAAAUGUCAUUAUUUGCUGAUUAUAUCAAAUUUGAUCCUCAAACUUUUGAUUGCUAUAUAUAUUUUGUUUUGAAUAUUUAUUUUUCAAUUUCAUCUCUUAAAAUUUUAUUUUUAUAUUAACUUUGGUCCUUAUUUUUAUAAUUGUUAUUUGCUUUUUUCUUACCAUUUUUUUAUUGAAAUUUUUUAUUUAUCAAAUUUGAUCCUCAUUCUUUUUGAUUGUUACUUAUUUUAUUUGAAAUAAUUUAUGAAAUGUUGAUUAUUAUUAUUUUAAUUUCUUCAUUUUUCAUUUUUUUUUAUUUUUUUAGAUUUGAUCCCUAUUAUUUUGAUUAUUAUUUGUUUUAUUUGAGAUAAUUUAUGAAAUUAUAUUUUUUUUUUUCAAUUUCAUUCUCAUUCAACUUUUUAAUUUGUAAGAUUUGUUCCUCAUUAUUUUAAUAAACUUGAGAAAAAUAAAAUAUUAAUAAGUUAUUUUCCAGCUCAUUUUUCAUGACAUAACUAAACACUGGAAAGUGUUUUCCAGUUCAUUUUCCAUAACACUACCAAACAUCGGAAAAUACUUUCCCGGAAUUCACUUUCCAGGAAUUCACUUUCCUCGGAAUUCACUUUCCAAAAGAAAUUCACUUUCCUGCAAACAAACGGAGCCUUAAAUUACAAAAGAAUUGUAUAAAUAAUUAACCCGAAGAAUUUUUGAAUAAUUAUAUGAUGAAUUUAUGAAAAACUUUCACACAGAAAUUGGGUUUUUAAAGACAACAAUUAUAGAUGAGAGAUGUGUGUGGGGGUCUAAAUAUGGGAUUAGCCUUAAAAAAUAUCGAUCUUGGGACGUGAAGAAUAUUUUCAAACCAAUUGAUUUGGUGAAAACUUUGGUGUUAUCAUUGAUGUUGGCAAAACGUUAUCUAGAAAAAGCUAUUGGUAUAGAAAAUAUAUACUUGAUUUUCAUAGACAUGUGAUUAUUGGCUUGAUGUUUGGAUCACGACCCCAACAAUAACAAGGAGGCGAAGGUUUAUUGCCAUUUGGGUCAACAAAAACAAUUUUGUUCUGGUAAAAAUGUAUGCCAUCAUUUUCCUCUCAUGUUUUUUAAACAAAUAUGCUCGAAAGACAUGAAAAGAAAAGAAAAAAUUAGAAAAAGAAAACUUGUUUUGUAUAGAGUUUACAAGUGUAGAUAGUUUUUGUUAAAUUUUUGCAAGAAAGAGCAAAGUUUAAUUAUCUUGCUUAGAGGUAGUUUAGUUAAAAAAAAGAGUGGAAAAGUAAGCAAUAUGAUAUCUGAAUGAGUGUACAAGUUCAAGACGCCUUACAUGAGAAGUCCAAAUUUAAUUAUCAUGUUUUGGAGACAGGUAGUCAAAAAGACUUGAAGAAAGAUUUGUGAUUUUUUUUAUAGACAAGUGGUUACAGAAUAAUGAAAAAGGAUAUCUUAUACUUUAGAAAAUAUAUGAUCAUAGUGUUUUGGAGACAUUUAUGAAGAUUCAAUUAAGACAUGAAGAUUUUAGUAUGAAAAAUUAAAGAAGCUAGAGUUUAUUUUCAAUAUAAGUUAUAUAUUUAUUACACUGAAUAGGCUAAUUUGUUUGUUUUGUUUAUUGUAAUUUCAUGCUUGCAAGAGUUAUUUUUCAAUGCUAUUGUGUAAUCUUUUAUAUAUAUAUAUAUAUUCAAUUACUAUCUUUGCUUAUUUUUUUAUUGUCUAAUUAAAAUAAAACUAACUUAUUAAAUUUAAAUGAGGCUAUAACCUGAGUUAUUUGUUUUUUUUUAUUUCUUUUAAAUAUGCUUGUGACACCUAGAUUAUAGUUGUCUUUUUUUAUUUUUUAUUUUUUAUUUUAAUUGAUACCUUUUUAAAAAAAUAUUUUUUUUUAAUUUAUAUUUGCAUUAAUAUCUCUUCUCAAUUAUUUUUUAUUUUUAAUUGAUUUUUCCUUCAAUUUCAUCCAUAUCCUUUGGUUUAAUUUGAUUUUUAAAUCAAACUUAUUUCUUAUUCUUUUGAUAUUUUUAAACCUUUUAUAAAUUGAUUUUUUUUCAAUUACAUUCCUUGGCAUUUAAUUUCAAUUUAUUUUUCUAUUAAAUUUGGUUCCCGUUAUUUGUUUUUCUUCUUGUCUUUUAUGGGGUUAGUCUCAUCCUCAUUACAAGGGUCACAAGUUUCGAAGGUUAACAUUGGUUGACUUUGAUUUUUUUAAGUUUUUUUAUCAAAUUGAUUUAUUUUUAAUUUUAUCCUAUAAUAUUUAAUUUUUUUUAAUUAGUUUUUUUUUAUCUUUUUUUAUAUGGAGUUAUCUCAAUCCUAUACCCAUAGUCUUAGAGUUAGUGGCUUAAUCCAAGUUAACUCGGAUUUGUUUUCAUAUAUAAAUAUAAUUUUCUUAAUUCCAUUGCUAAAGAUCUUUUUAUUGAGAAUUUUGCUUCGUUGUUUUUUUUGUUUGCCUUCCAAUGCAGUCGGUCUCAGUCUCAUGACCACGGUUGUGGAUUUUAAAAGUUAAUAUUUGUUAAUUUUGAUUUGUUUAGGUUUUUUUUUUUUUCAAUUUCAUCAUUCAACAUUUAAAUUUUUAGGAUUGAUCUUCAUGCUUUUUUUUUAUUCACUUUCUUUUUUAUGGGGCUAUCUCAAUCUAAUGCCCAAAAUCGUGAAGUUAGUGAGUUAACCUAGCAGAGACAAGUUUGAUAUUAGAAUAAAUGGAUUUAAAUAAUAUUUUAUUUUUAACUUUUUCGUAUUAAAAUGAUUUGAAUAUAUAUAUAUAUAUAUAUAUAUAUAUAUUUUAAAAGCAAAAACAAACUAGGUAUAAUAAUAAAAACUUAAUUUAUCUCCAUUUUUUUAAUGACCAAGUUGUAUUCCAAUAAUUGAAGGGGAAAUAGAGACCACUUGUCUUCUAAAAAAUACCGUUGGCCUUCGCUGGUUUCCUCACUCAAAACCACCACCAAGAAGCCUUUAGCCUCUGGUUUUUCUCCUACAAUUUUGGUACACUCACCUAUAUAACCAAACCCCUUUACUCCCAUUUCCUUCAUCAAAUCAUUGCUCCUGAUAUCUUAAUCUCUUCAAAUCCCACUUCAAAGAGUUUCCAACUCGUUGGUUCUAUAUUACAGUAACAUGAAAAAUGAGUUCAGCGAGUAAAGCUUGGUUGGUUGCAGCAGCUGUUGGAGGUGUCGAGGCCUUGAAAGACCAAGGGUUCUGUAGGUGGAGCUACACCUUGAGAUCCCUUCACCAACAUGCCAAGAACCAUGUCAGAUCAGCCUCUCAGGCCAAGAAGCUUUCUUCUUCAUCCUCUGCCAUGAUCUCGAAUAAAAUCAAGGAAGUGACAGCAAAACAGUCGGAGGAAUCUCUAAGAAAAGUCAUGUAUUUGAGCUGUUGGGGUCCUUCCUAAAGCUAAGAAGCAAGAUGGAAUUGAGAAAAUUAUCGUGAUAGGAUUACCCUGAUCGUUGCAAGUUGAUGUAAAUAUUUGUAAAUUUUGGUACUGACUUAAUGGAAUCAAACUAUAUUAUUUCUUGAUUAAUUUUUCCUUGCACCAUUUAUUUUUUUCUGUUUUCCCACUUCUUUUGGAAAGGAUCAUGAAAAGGUUCAAUUUUAGUGCAUCACAGCAUUUGCUAAGGAUAUUUGAAUCAAUUGCAAUCUCAAGAUAGAAUCUAAAUUCUAAUUUGGUUAAGAAAAUCUAUUAAAACAAAAUCCAGGUCUAACUUUGACUGGUUUUUUAAUGACAUAUAUAUUAUCUGUUAAAUGAAGAUCAAUAGGGCUUAUUUAUUUAAAUGUCAGAACUUUUGAACUUUCAAGAAAAUUGGAAUGUGGCAAAAUGGUUGAACCUGACAAAAAAAAAAAGUAUUUUCUUGAAUAUCUGAAAAAUGAAUUAGCUCGUAAGAAAUAAUUAUUUUGAAGUGAAUAGUGUUUCGUAACAUUAGAGAAUCCACUUGCUCACUGCUCAGGUCGUUUAUGCGUCAAAAUUUUGCUGGAUGCCAAGUCUUUAGAACGCUCGAUUAAGGAGAGCUUGAGAGUUCAGAACUUUGUAUUUUGUGACGCAUGCAAUGGAUCUACAAGACUACAAGUAUUGUCUGUCCUUUACUCAAGCCCCACUGCUGAAGAAAAACAAGUGGAUUUGCCUCCUAUACUUGAGGCUCACUUCGGAUUUUUAUAAAGCAAACCGUGUGCUCUUUACCAAAACAUGGCCCCGCUCUAGCAACAUGAUAAGAUGCAUGAAAAAGAAAUGUAUUUAUAAUUCCACCAAGUGGUCCUUGAUAGACAUAAAGAUUCAGUCCCAUCAUAGCAUAACCACGAUAAAAUAAUACCACUGGCUCCCUUAAACCAAAACCAGCAACCACAGCUUGCUCCUUGCUUCCGGUUUCCUCCCAAUUUCUGGCAAUUAGUUCCCAACUCUCUUUAUAAGCAAAUCCCAGUUUGCCAUUUACACCAUCGACACGGAUUCUGAAUCACAUCUCAUCGUUUUCAACUAAAAAUCCCACAUCAAAGAGUUUCCAACUAUUGUUCUAUUUUAUAUUACAGAGAAAAUGAGUUCAGCAAGUAAAGCUUGGUUGGUAGCUGCUGCUAUUGGAGGUGUUGAGGCCUUAAAAGACCAAGGCUUCUGUAGGUGGAACUACACAUUGAGAUCGCUACGCCAGCAUGCCAAGAACCAUGUCGGGUCAAUUUCUCAGGCUAAUAAGAAGCUCCCUUGUUCAUCUUCUGCCAUUAUUUCAAAUAAAUUCAAGGAAGAGAAGGCGAAACAGUCAGAGGAGUCUCUAAGAAAAGUCAUGUAUUUGAGUUGCUGGGGUCAAAACUGAUACUCUCAAGAAAGAAGAAAUUCUGAGGAAAUCAGUUCAUAGGAUUAGAGUAAAUUUUUGCAAGUUGAUUUAAACUGUAAAUGCUUGUGCUGAUUGCCAAUCAAAUAUAUCUCAUUUUAUUGGCAAAAUUUUGGGAAAAUGGCCUUAAAGUAACAUUAACAAAGGAUAUGGCUCAUGUUAAAAAAAAAACCAGCAACUCAAUUGGAGGAGGAGUUGAUAAAUUAGGACAAAUCUUAAACUGGAAUUCUCAAUUUCAAUUUGGCCCAGAAGAAAAUUAGUUUAGGAAUAUUUCUUUACUCACAAGUGUUCACGGCAGGGUGAUGAUCACUGUAUGUGAAAUUAAACAGGCCUUUAAAUUACAAAAGAAUUGUAUAAAUAAUUAACCCGAAGAAUUUGUGAAUAAUUAUCUGAUGAAUUUAUGAAAAACUUUCACACAGAAAUUGGGUUUUUAAAGACAACAAUUAUAGAUGAGAGAUGUAUGGGGGUCUAAAUAUGGGAUUAGCCUUAAAAAAUAUCGAUCUUGGGACGUGAAGAAUUUCAAACCAAUUGAUUUGGUGAAAACUUUGGUGUUAUCAUUGAUGUUAGCAAAACGUUAUCUAGAAAAAGCUAUUGGUAUAGAAAAUAUAUACUUGAUUUUCAUAGACGUGUGAUUAUUGGCUUGAUGUUUGGAUCACGACCCCAACAAUAACAAGAAGGCGAAGGUUUAUUGCCAUUUGGGCCAACAAAAACAAUUUUGUUCUGGUAAAAAUGUAUGCCAUCAUUUUCCUCUCAUGUUUUUUAAACAAAUAUGCUCGAAAGACAUGAAAAGAAAAGAAAAAAAUUAGAAAAAGAAAACUUGUUUUGUAUAGAGUUUACAAGUGUAGAUAGUUUUUGUUAAAAGUUUUUGCAAGAAAGAACAAAGUUUAAUUAUCUUGCUUAGAGGUAGUUUAGUAAAAAAAAAGAGUGGAAAAGUAAGCAAUAUGAUAUCUGAAUGAGUGUACAAGUUCAAGACGCCUUACAUGAGAAGUCCAAGUUUAAUUAUCAUGUUUUGGAGACAGGUAGUCAAAAAGACUUGAAGAAAGAUUUGUGAUUUUUUUUAUAGAUUUGUGAUUUUUUUUAUAGACAAGUGGUUAUAGAAUAAUGAAAAAGGAUAUCUUAUACUUUAAAAAAUAUAUGAUCAUGGUGUUUUGGAGACAUUUAUGAAGAUUCAAUUAAGACAUGAAGAUUCUAGUGUGAAAAAUUAAAGAAGCUAGAGUUUAUUUUCAAUAUAAGUUAUAUAUUUAUUACACUGAAUAGGCUAAUUUGUUUUUUUUGUUUAUUGUAAUUUCAUGCUUGCAAGAGUUAUUUUUCAAUGUUAUUGUGUAAUAUAUAUAUAUAUAUAUAUUCAAUUACUAUCUUUGUCUAUUUUUUUAUUGUCUAUUUAAAAUAAAACUAACUUAUUAAAUUUAAAUGAGGCUAUAACCUGAGUUAUUUGUUUUUUUUAUUUCUUUUAAAUGUGCUUGUGACACCUAGAUUAUAGUUGUCUUUUUUUUAUUUUUUUAUUUUAUUUUUUAUUUUAAUUGAUACCUUUUUUAAAAAAUAUAUAUAUUUUUUAAUUUAUAUUUGCAUUAAUAUCUCUUCUCAAUUAUUUUUUAUUUUUAAUUGAUUUUUCCUUCAAUUUCAUCCAUAUCCUUUGGUUUAAUUUGAUUUUCAAAUCAAACUUAUUCCUUAUUCUUUUGAUAUUUUUAAACUUUUUUAUAAAUUGAUUUUUUUUCAAUUACAUUCCUUGGCAUUUAAUUUCAAUUGAUUUUUCUAUUAAAUUUGGUUCCCGUUAUUUGUUUUUCUUCUUGUCUUCUAUGGGGUUAGUCUCAUCCUCAUUACAAGGGUCACGAGUUUCGAAGGUUAACAUUGGUUAACUUCAAUUUUUUUAGGUUCUUUUAUCAAAUUGAUUUAUUUUUAAUUUUAUCCUUUAAUAUUUGAUUUUUUUAAUUAAUUUUUUUUAUCUUUCUUUAUAUGGGGUUAUCUCAAUUCUAUGCCCAUAGUCUUAGAGUUAGUGCCUUAAUCCAAGUUAAAUCAUAUAUACAUAUAAUUUUCUUAGUUCCAUUGCUAAGGAUCUUUUUGUUGAGAAUUUUGCUUCAUUGUUUUUUUUUGUUUGCCUUCCAUGCAGUCGGUCUUAGUCUCAUAACCACGGUUAUGGAUUUUAAAAGUUAACAUUUGUUAAUUUUGAUUUGUUUAGGUUUUUUUUAAAAUUGAUUUUUUUUUAAUUUUAUCAUUCAACAUUUAAAUUUUUGGGAUUGAUCUUCAUACUUUUUUUUUUCACUUUUCAUUUCAUGGAGCUAUCUCAAUCUAAUGCCCAAAAUUGUGAAGUUAGUGAGUUAAUCUAGAUUGACCAAAAUCUUUUUUUAUUGAUUUUUUUAAAAUAUUUAUUUUUAGUUGUCACUCAAUAUUAGAUUGUUUGAGUUUCAUAUUUUUUUCAAUUUGUUUUUGUUAACAAUUCUUUGUAUUGUUUAUUGGCACGAAUAAUCUUUUAAUUAAACAAAAAGUUUAUUCUAUAAAACAAAGUUAUUGAACAUAAGUAAGUAGAUAACAUGGGUUGCAUGAUCAAAUAUUUUAAUCUUAAUAAGUCAUUGAUUAAAUAUUAAUUUAUUUAAUUAAAUAUAUGUAUAAAUAUUUUAAUAUAUGAUUGAGAAUUUUUUAUAUAAAAAACAUGAAGAAAAACUUAUUUAUUCUUUAUUUUUUUAUUAAAAAAUUAAGAUAUAUAAUCCUCUACGAAGCGCUGUUGAAAUAGUUUAUUGUAGUUUUCUAGACCAUCACAAUUGUUUACAGACAGUCCUCACUAUUACUUCAAUUGUCUUCAAAAACAGUCUUGCCCAAAACAAAACAUUGAUUGAUAAGUGACAAACCCCAUUUGUUUAAUGCGUGUGACUCAGAGCAGAGACAAGUUUGAUAUUAGAAUAAAUGGAUUUAAAUAAUAUUUUAUUAUUUUUUAAAAAAAUAUUUUUAACUUUUUCAUAUUAAAAUGAUUUAAAAAUAAUAAUAAAAAAUAUAUUUUUUUUUAAAGCAAAAACAAACUAGGUAUAAUAAAAAAACUUAAUUUAUCUCCAUUUUUUUAAUGACCAAGUUGUAUUCCAAUAAUUGAAGGGGAAAUAGAGACCACUUGUCUUGUAAAAAAUACCGUUGGCCUUUGCUGGUUUCCUCACUCAAAACCACGACGAAGAAGCCUUGAGCCUCUUGUUUUUCUCCCACACUUUUGGUACACUCACCUAUAUAACCAAACCCCUUUACUCCCAUUUACUUCAUCAAAUCAUAGCUCCUGAUAUCUUAAUCUCUCCAAAUCCCACUUCAAAGAGUUUCCAACUUGUUGGUUCUAUAUCACAGUAACAGAGAAAAUGAGUUCAGCAAGCAAAGCUUGGUUGGUUGCAGCAGCUGUUGGAGGUGUUGAGGCGUUGAAAGACCAAGGGUUCUGUAGGUGGAACUACACCUUGAGAUCCCUGCACCAACAUGCCAAGAACCAUGUCAGAUCAGCCUCUCAGGCCAAGAAGCUUUCUUCUUCAUCCUCUGCCAUGAUCUCGAAUAAAGUCAAGGAAGUGAGAGCAAAACAGUCUGAGGAAUCUCUAAGAAAAGUCAUGUAUUUGAGCUGUUGGGGCCCUUACUAAGCAAAGAAGCCACAUGAAAUUGAGGAAAUUAUCGUGAUAGGAUUAGCCUGAUUGUUGCCAGUUGAUGUAAAUUGAUUUUUAAAUAUUGUUGCUGACUUCAUGGAAUCAAACCAUAUUAUUUUUGGAUUAGUUUUUCCUUGCACCAUUUAUUUUAUAGUUUCUGUUUUCCCAUUUCUUUUCUCAGGCCCUCAUGUCGCAAAGUGAAAAGGAUCAUGACAAGGUUAAUUUUAGUGCACCACAGCUUAAAAAAAAAUUGAGGGGCAUUUGUAUUCAAAGAUAUUUGCAUCAAUCGGAAUCUCACUACAAUCUAAAUUAUAAUUUGGUAAAAAUAAAAAUUCAAUUCAAGAAAAAUUAGAUUCGAUUUAGAACUUAUACUGGUUUUUCAAAGACAUAAAUGGAUUAAGAAAUAAUUAUUGGACUUAUCCCCUUUUUGGAGCCGAAAGGAAGUUCAUUAGUCUUUUGGUUUUUUGCAUAAAUGAAGAUGAAUAGGGAUUAUUUUCUUCAAUGUCAAAACUUGUGAAAUUUCAAGAAACUUGGGAAUGCUGCAAAAUGGUUGAACUGGCACAAAAAAAUUAGUAUUUUCUUGAAUCUCUGACAGAUGAAUUAGAUCGCAAGAAAUACUUUUUUUUGAAGUGAAUAAUGUUUCGUAACGUAAGAGAAUCAUUUCUCUACUACUCGUAAAAACAUAAAUUAUUUGGAUUCUUUUUUUUAAGGUUUAGCUAUAUCUAUUGGUGUAAAUAUUAUAAUAACUUUUUUUAUGUAAAAUUAGCAGUUUGUUUUAUAAAACAUUUAGCAAAAUAAUAUCAUUUAAAAAAGAUUUGAUUAAAUAACAUGUUUUUAUCAUAUCAUGCCAAAUAUGAUAUUUAUUAAAUGUUGUUAUUUGUAGAAGUAACAAAUUGAAACUCCAAUCAUCUAGCUCAACAGGUUAAUUAAUUGAAUUAAGUUAUAGUAGUUAUAUAAACUGAUCGAUGUUUUCAUAUAAAAAUGAUAAUUUAAUGAAUUUUAUUAAAAUAUUUUUUAUGAAUCAAAAUAUAUAUCUUUUUUCAACUUAUAUACAAAAAAAUAGAUUUUAAUUAAAAUCUUAAAAUAUUAUUAUUCACAUAGUGAUUGUCCUUUGUUUUUCAUUGUCAAUGAUGUAGCUAUAUUUGCAAUAACUGGUAAUUCUAAAUAAUCAGAUGCAACUCUGCUGUAACUAAAUGAGAUUUGGCCCAAACAUAUUAUUUGGAUAGCUUUGCAUUUGUGAACUAAUAGGACAUGUAUAAACUUAGAAAGAAGGUCUAAUUAUACCAUAACAAAAUAAUGCUUAAAAGAACCAUAACUUUUGAUUAGACACUUAAAUUCUUUACAUGAGUUUUCAGAGGAAGUUUUUUCUAUUGUAGCUACUGUAUCGCUAUAUGAACCGUUAGAUUUUUAAAUAUAAAAAAUCUAGUUGAGUCACUUUGAUUUUAAUAACUUUGAGAUUUUUUUUGUUAUUUUUCGAAUCGAUCAACUGGUUUCACUGACCAUUAUGAAUCGGUUGAGCCAGAUAAUUGAAAUUUCACCUUGUCAUGUUUUAAAAGUGUGAUAUUUAUUAAAUGUCGCUAUUAUUUUAAUUUUUUUAAAAAUAAUAAUAUUUAAUAAAUAUUAUAUUUUUAAAGCACAAUAAAAUCAAAAUAUGCCAUUUCAUAAAAAAAAAAAUCUUCUCUGUUAAUUUGCCAAUUGUUUUGAUUUUAUUCACUAAUUUCCUAAUUUAUCCCUUUUUUUCCGUAACACAGCUAGCUAUAAUGUGCGGGUUCUUCAUUUAUUUAUUUUUCUCAACUGUGAUACAUAACAAUUAAUUUUUUUUCCACGUUUGUUAUUUUGGAAAAAAAAAAAUCGUAUCUUGUGACACAUGCAAUGGAUCUACAAUUAUUAUUGUCUUCAGGAGGUAAUCCUGUCCGUUCCCUGUUUUUGAGUAGAUGCCUAGACAAAUGCUAAAAUGCUAUCCUUCCAGCCCCACUACUAAAGAAAAACAAGUGGAUUUGCCUCCAAUACUUGAGGCUCAAUUUUGAUUUUUAUAAAGCAAACCGUGUGCCUCUUACCAAAAACAAGUCCCCACUCCAGCUUUGUCGUAAUUGAAUAUGAUAAGAUGCAUGAAAAAGAAAUCCCCCAUUUUUUCUCCAUUUGUAUUUAAUGCCACCAAGUGGUCCUUGAUGGACAUAAAGAUUCAGUCCCAUCCUAGCCUAACUGCACUAAAAUAAUACCACUGGCUUUAACUUGUGCCAAAACCACCAGCCACAGCUUAUCCCUGGCUUCCGGUUUCCUCCAAUUUUCGGGUCCUCUAGUCCCCUCCUCUCUAUAUAAGCAAUCCCCAGCUUGUCAUCUCCACCAUCAAACACCAUUUCCCUUCUCAAUUACAUCUCAACUUUUUCAAAACGUUGUCCAUCUUCUAGCUCUUCAGUUCAAUCGAAAGAAAUAGAAAAAUGAGUUCAACAAGCAAAGCUUGGGCUGUUGCCACUAGUAUUGCAGCUGUGGAGGCUUUGAAAGAUCAAGGAUUUUGCAGAUGGAACUACACAAUAAGAUCACUAUACCAACAUGCCAAGAACCAAGGCAAGUCAUCCUCUCUGCCCAAGAAGCUCUCUUCUCCAGCUUCUACUGUGGUUGCCGGUAAAGUAAGAGAGAAUCAGAAAGCAAGGCAAUCCGACGAGUCACUGAGGCAGGUCAUGUACUUGAGUUGCUGGGGUCCUUACUAGCCAGGCAGUGAACUACCAGCAAGGAACUAUGGCCAUGCAUGCACUGGUUGCAGCAUAGAGACAAUCGAAGUCUUUCCAAGAGAGACUUAUUUGGAGAAACAUGACAAGGCCGACUUCUUAUGACGAUGGACGCUGGAACCCAUCAACGAUUAGUCAGCUUCAUUUGAAUGUUAUGCUCUAGCAAUAUAUGUUUCAAUCAAUUGUAGCCCAAUGAAUUGCUGAAUGAUGGGAGCAAAUUCUUUCCAUUGCUGCAACAACUUGCAAGUGAUGUAAAUUGUAAUUUUUCAGAAUGUAACGGCAUUUAAAUUAAGACUCAAUUGAAUCAGUAAGCUAAUUACAUGAGUGGAUUAAAGUCUUGUUCUCUGCUUUUAGCCCAUAGGGAAUAAUUACUACAACGUCAAAACCUGUGUGCCUUCAUGAAACUUGGACUGUGGCAGAGUGGAUGAACCUCACACGACACUUUCUACUAUAAGUUUAUAUAUUGGGAUUAGGCUGCAGUCAAGUCUUGAGUAACAAAAAUUAAACCGGGUGGGGUUUUUUAUUGUGGCAGUGUGCGACAUCGCGGCGAAAAAUAUAAGUGUUUUUCAUUUUAAAUCGACAAUGUAAAUCUAUAUCUAUUUUAAAUCUACAAUGUAAAUCUAUAUCUAUUUGGCAAAUGGAGAGACAAGAAAUUCUUGUUUUUUGUUGGUGGAAAAUGGAAUGGGAGUCGUCACCUAGUAUUUUGGUCACUAGAAAUUUUAACUGGUCUCAGAGAUCGGGCACGGGGACUGGUUGCGUAAAGAGAAGGUAUUAGCACCCCAAAUACGCCUUACCUAAGAUAAGCUGCAUUAUUUUAUUGUCUGAUAAAAUCUAAGGUCUUUUCGUGUUUUCCUAGUUGUUGGUAUAGUUCAAGAAAAGUCCUCCUCGGUAAGGAGAUCCUUAUCUUAAUGGGUAAUUCUGACGUUAACAAAAGAAUUUAAUAUUCAGAAUAUGUCUUACGUAUAAGAUCGUAACCCCAAAUACUAAGUCCUCCUCGGUAAGGAGAUCCUUAUCUUAAUGGGUAAUUCUGACGUUAACAAAAGAAUUUAAUAUUUGGAAUACGUCUUACGUAUAAGAUCGUAACCCCAAAUACUAAAAGAAAACACAAUAAUUUUUUUGGAAGUUUUGAAAUAUUGGUCUAGUUCUCAUGGCUUGAAUAAACUGGUUAUUAAAGCCAACAUGCAUGUUAAUACAUAUAUUGUUUUGAAGUUUCCUUUGUUGCGUGAAAAUACGAUGUUAUAAUAUUUAUAUAUAUAUAUUGGAGAGACUAGGCCGUAUGCAUUAAAACAAAAACAUUUUUUUUAUAUAUAUAUUUUUGAUGUUUUGACGAAAACCGGGUAUUUUAAUACUUGAUUUGUAUCUUUACGGUAUAAAAAUACAAACCAAUAUUAAACCAUUUUGACAAAAAAAUAUGCAGGAAAAUCAUAGGAUUUUUUAUAAUAUAUUUUUUUGAAAGCAAAACAUUUUUUAUUUUAAAAUUUUUUGAUGUUUUGACGGAAACCGAGUAUUUUAAUACUAGAUUUGUAUCUUUACAGUAUAAAAAUACAAACCAAUAUUAAACCAUUUUGACAAAAAUAUGCAGGAAAAUAAACAAUAUUUUUUUCAAAUAUUUUUUAGAAUAUUUCUUUUUAUUUUAUACACACACAUAAUAUAAAACAAUAUAAUAUAUAAUAUAAUAUAUAAUAUAAUAUAUAAUAUAAUAUAUUAUGUGGGCUGGGCCGACCCAAAUAAAUGGGCCAGGCUCAGCCCAGCAUGGAUUGGGCCAAUCUCGGCCCAUUCAAUCUCUCAUUUUUGUCUGGGCCAGACUGGCCCAGAAUCAAUCUGGCCCAGCGCAAGAAACCCAUCGAGAGGGGAAUUAUUUUUCCCCUCCUAUCAAUUCUACAUGCAGGAGGAAAACGCCACGAGAAAAAAAUGCAGGGAGAAGACUUUACCUGGCGUGGAGGAGGUGGUCGUUGGUGGUGCUGCGAUGGAGGCCGGUGGCGGUGUCGUGGCUCACGGACGGCGGCUCCAAGCGGCGGUGCUGCUGUUUCAAACGGCGGAGGGUGAGGAUACUGCUCUUCCUUUCUCCUCCGUAUGGCUUCCUCUUCUUUCGUUUUUGGUGGUUUCCUCAGUUCGGGUUUGCUAGUUGUUCUUUUUGGUUCGGUUCUUUCCCUCCUUUUCCUAUGUUUUCUCUUUUUUUUUCUUUCGGUUUGUUCCUUCUCUUCCCUCUCUACUGAUCGUUCUCUCUCUUCGGGUUUUCUCCUUUCUUUCCCCUCUCUCUAUUCGAGCCUCUCUUUUCGUUUUCUUUUUUUUCCUCUUUUUUCCUCCCCCUCGCGUGCUGGCGUCCAGUCUUCAUUUAUAUGGGGCAAGGGAGCGGGGGCGUCGCUAUUGCCACCCUAUGGCAGCGCACGGGGAGCAGGGCUUUGCUGCCCUGCCACAGCGCCGGGCUGGCUGGCCAGUGGGCGUGGCUGGUAGGGCGCGGCUCCCUCGACUUUUCAUCAUGAGAGCGCAUGGGGGGGCGGUUUUGGCAGAUGUGGCAUGUCGGGUUCAACGACGAAAGAAGAAAAAAUUGCCUUCCCCUGCUGCACGUCCAGGGGAAGAGAUAGGGAACAGUGUCGUUCAAAACGACACUAUUCUGUUUUUUUUUUUUUUAACAUGAAACGGCGCCAUUUUAGACAAAACGCGCCGUUUCAUUUAAAUCAAAAAGGGGCGCCGAAAGGCGUCAUUGUCCAAGUCAGUCCUUAAUUAUAUUUUGUUCAUUUCAAUUGCAUCCCUUCCAAUUUCGGUCGCCACCCCUAUAUUUGUCCGCGUUUUUCACUUCAAUCCUUGGCCUCUGAUUUAUGCAAUUUGACCCUCAAUUAAUCAAUAAACUUCCAAUUUCUUCAAUUUAGCCCAUGAUUUUGUUAAUUACAACCCCUAUAUUUACACGCCUUUUCCAAUUUGGUCCUUGGUUUCGGAUAUUCUCAAUUCAGUCCCUAAUUGGCCAUUAAAGUUCAAUAUUUAUGCAAUUAAGCCCUUGAUUUGACCAAAUCAAUUCCUAAAAAUUAUAAUUUGACCCCAGAACUUUAAUUUCUUCCAAUUAAAGCCCAAAUUGACAUAAAAAUCAAUUUUUCUUGCAAUCAAAACCUCUAUAAAUUCAAUUAAACUUGCAAUAAAAUCCAAUUAAGUCCAUAAACAUCCAAUUUUGAACUUUUCUCUUCAAAUUGAAUUUUUUUCUUUUCCAACUGGGCUUUCAUCAUUCAAGGAUACACUGUCAAAAUUUCAAUCUUUGUAUUUUUAACCUCCUAUUAUUUUUUUAUUUUUUUAAUUUCUUCCGGCUAUAUAUAUAUAUAUAUAUUUAUUAUUAUUAUUAUUUAUUACUUUUAUUAUUUAUUUUGAUUUUUAUUAUUUUUGUUAUUAUUAUAUUUUUUAUUUAUUUUUAUUUUUAUUUUUAUUUUUGUGUGGGGACCCAAAAAUGGGUUACAACAUCGAUGUUGAAGAUGCACUAUUUACUUUUUCAAAGAGAUGAUUGGAUUAAAAGAAAAAAAAAGAAGAAGGUAAAAUGUAAGGUGAUUUUGAAUUUUAUAUAAAAAGUUUAUCGUGGUUUUUUAUAUAUUUAUUUUUAUAGAUGAUUGGUCCGAAAUUAAAUUUAGAUAUCAAUUUUUUUUUUAGUUUUUUUUUAAGAGGAAAGGACUAUUGGAUUAGUAGAGAGAGAAAAAAUAAUUAUUAACGAUUAUUCUAGCCAUAAAAAAUAAUUAAAAUUGGUGUUAAUAGAUUAUAUUUUUUACAACGAUAUUUAGUUGACGGAUUCGGCGAAAAAACAAACUAUGCGUAGUUUGUUGUCUUCAUUCUCGAGGGUUGGGUUGGAAGGCUUACGUGUUUGUAUUGCUUUUAUUUUUUUUUAUUUUUUGAUAUUUUAUAUUUUAAUUAAAAAAUUAAUAAAAAAUUUAUUAAAUUCAAUCAAAUUCAUGAGGAGUUUCUGCUUCUCAAAAAAAAAAAAAAAAUCAUCUCUUAUUAAUGAUGAUCUAUUUUUUUAACUCCAACUUAAAAUAGUGCAAUUUUAAUUUUACUAUUAUUAUCAAUAAUAUACUUUUGCUAUAUUAGCACCACGUCCCUAUCAUGAUUUUUUUACUUAACAAAAAAUAUUUCAUACAAAAAAAUUAUCAUGUGCUUUAUUGUUUUUAUUGUUAUGUAAUUAAAUGAAAAAUAAUUUUUGGAAUCAAAAAAUUAUUGAAUUUGAUGACUAACAUGAUUUGCUUUGUGAGUUUGACUGGCCGAGUCGAGUUGAUUUAAGUUUUUAAAUUAAAUACUAUUUUUUUAACCGAUUUUGUUCUUCAACAUUGAGUUAAUUUAAGAUUAAGCUUUUAAUUUGUUUUUUUAUUUUAUUUUUCAGAUUAUCCCUACAACUUUUAUAUCACAUCCAUGUUAAUUUAGGUAAAUCAAAUAUUUUUUUUUAUCUUAAUAUUAAAUAAAAAUAUCGUUCAAUUCAUAAUUAAAAUCUAGUUUUUUAGAAGACACAUCACUAAUAUUUAAAUAAUUUUUUUGUUUUUAAUUUAAAAUCUGCUCCAAACCCACGGCAUAGGGCGGUAGUUCAAAGCUCCGUAAAAGGAAUUCACAAGUUAGAGCAAAUAUUUGGAGUAAUUAUUCAUAAUCUUUCGUAAAAUAGGUAAACCAAUUUAUUUUCUGAUCACAGUCCAUGUCGUUUCCAUAUCAACAUUAUGCAUCACGAGUCAUUUUUGCUUUUUUUGAACCCCUUGCAACUAAAGUUAUUAAAUUGGAUAUGCUAAUAACUUAUUUUAAGAUUUGGACUAAACAAGUUAAUUUAAAUUGUUUUUAUUAAUUAAAAUAAUAUUAUUUAAUUUAUUUUUUAAAAUUAAAUUAAGUUUGAAACUAAUUCAAUCAUGUGAUAAUUUGAUCCAUCAUAUAGUUUAACUAAGUUAAUUAUCAUCUACUUUUUUAAAAAAUUAACUUGAUUCAGGUUUAAUAAUAAUUAUCAAAACUUGAGAACUGUUUUUUCCUUAAGUUUUACUUAUUUAUUUAUCUUUUUAGUGAUAUAUAAAUCGUUAAAAAAUAAUAUAAAUUAUAUCCUGGAAUUUUGCCUAACCGAUUAAGCUAUUAAGUUAAGAUGGUUUUUUGAUAUAGUAUCAGAGCGUUGAUGAUCAAGCGGUCACGAGUUCGAAUCUCACCAUCCCUAUUUAUUUAAUAAAAAUCAAACACAAGAUAAUAUGAGUUUGUGCAAGUUUCAAGUCCAAAUGACUUUUAUUUGAGGAGGUGUCAAUUUAAACUAUUAAAUUGAAAUAAUUUUUUUGAAACGGAAGGAUUCACAAUUAUUGUGUUCAUGAUGUGAUCCUAUACUUUUUCCUGUUUUUGAGUAGAUGACUAGAUAAAAUUUAUUUAAAAAAAAAAAUCAAAACGACAUUGUUUUAGUAAAAAAGAAAACAAAAAAAAUAAAAGCCAAUAAGUUUGUGGCCGGGUCUUUACCAGAUCUUUCCAGGUCAGCCGGAUCACACCAAAUUUUUCCUUUCUUUAUUUUUUUUUCAACCCGGUCCGGUUUCGUUCCCGGAUCGACCUACCAGGUCAUCAGGUUUCAAAACUAUGUCGAAGGUUACCACCUUUGGUUUUUUAUCUCUAUUUUUUAAAUGACCAAGUUGUAUUCCAAUAAUUAAAGGGGAAAUAGAGACCACUUGUCUUAUAAAAAAUACCGUUGGCUUUUGCUGGUUUCCUCACUCAAAACCACCACGAAGAAGCCUUGAGCCUCUGGUUUUUCUCCUACAAUUUUGGUACACACUCACCUAUAUAACCAAACCCCUUUACUCCCAUUUACUUCAUCAAAUCAUAACUCCUGAUAUCUUAAUCUCUCCAAAUCCCACUUCAAAGAGUUUCCAGCUCGUUGGUUCUAUAUUACAGUAACACAGAAAAUGAGUUCAGCAAGCAAAGCUUGGUUGGUUGCAGCAGCUGUUGGAGGAGUCGAGGCCUUGAAAGACCAAGGGUUCUGUAGGUGGAACUAUACCUUGAGAUCGCUACACCAACAUGCCAAGAACCAUGUCAGAUCAGCCUCUCAGGCCAAGAAGCUUUCUUCUUCAUCUUCUGCUAUGAUCUCGAAUAAAAUCAAGGAAGUGAAAGCAAAACAGUCUGAGGAAUCUCUAAGAAAAGUCAUGUAUUCGAGCUGUUGGGGUCCUUACUAAGCAAAGAAGCUAGAACAGAUUGAGGAAGUUAUCGUGAUAGGAUUAUCCUGAUUGUUGCAAGUUGAUGUAAAUUGAUUCGUAAAUAUUGUUGCUGACUUCAGGGAAUCAAACCAUAUUACUUUUGGAUUAAUUUUGGCUUACACCAUUUAUUUUAUAAUUUCUGUUUUCCCAUUUCUUUUCUCAGGCCCUCAUGUCGCAAAGUGAUAAGGAUCAUGACAAGGUUAAUUUUAGUGCACCACAGCUAAAAAAAUUAAAUUGAGGGGCAUUUGUCAAAGAUAUUUGAAUCAAUCGGAAUCUCACUAGAAUCUAAAUUAUAGUUUGGUAAAAAUAAAAAUUCAGUUCAAGAAACAUUAGAUUUAGAACUUAAACUGGUUUUUCUAGGACAAAAAUAGAUUAAGAAAUAAUUAUUGGACUUGUUCCCUUUUGGAGCCAAAAGGAAGUUCUUUAUGUCUUUUGCUUUUCGGCAUAAAUGAAGAUCAAUAGGGAUUAUUUUCUUCGAUGUCAAAACUUAUGAAAUUUCAAGAAACUUGGGAAUGGUGCAAAAUGGUUGAACUGGCACAAAAAAUUAACAUUUUCUUGAAUCUCUGAAAGAUGAAUUAGAUCGCAAGAAAUACUUUUUUUGAAGUGAAUAAUGUUUCGUAAUGUAAGGGAAUCAUUUGUCCACUACUCGUAAGAAAAUAAAUUAUUUGGAUAAAUAAUCGGGUUUUUUUUUUUUUUAAGGUUGAUCUUUACCUAACAGUGUAAAUAUUAUCAUUAAUUUUUUUUUUAUGUAUAUUUUAAAGGUUGUGAAGUAAUAUCAUAAUUUAUUAAUCUGUUUUUAGUGGUUAUUUUUCUAAAAUUAGUAUUUUUUUAAUAAAUUUUGACAGAACAAUAUCAUUUGAAAAUAUUUUUGGUUAAAUAAUACAUUUUCACCUGAUCGUAUUUCUGAAGUGUAACAUUUACUAAAUAUCAUUGUUUCUAAAAGUGACUAGGUGAAUUUCCAAUCACCUGGCAGAAGUGCUUGACUAAUUGAAUUUAGUUGUAUGAAUUGGUUUAUUGUUUUAAAAAAAAUUAUAAUUUAAUAAUUUUUUUCUUUCAAAUAUAUUUUAAGAGUUCAAUAUCUUUAUUCAACUUGUAGAUUCAAAAAUAGAAUCCAAUUAAAAUCUCAAAAAGUUAUUAUACACAAAAUGCUUGUCUUCUAUUUUUUAAUAUCAAUGAUGUAGUUGGAUUUGUGAUAAUAAGUGAUUCUAAGUAGUCAGGUGUGACUCUACCAUAACUAAAUGAGAUUUGGCCCAAAUAUAUUACUUGAUGAUCUAACAUAUGUAUUUAUGAACCAAUGAGACAUAUCUAAACUCAGAAAGAAGGUUUAAUCACGCCAAACCAAAAUAACUCUCAAAAGGACCAUAACUUCUGAUUAGAUGCUCAAAUUCUUUAUAGAAGUUCUCGGAGGUUGUUUUCCUUAUAGUAAUCAUUGCGUCGCUAUGCGAACCAUCAAAUUUUUAGAUAUAAAAAAUCUAGCUGAGGCCUCUCAAAUUUAGCAGUUUUAAGAUUUUUUUUGUUAUUUUUAGAAUUAAUCGACCAAUUUCACUAAUCAUUAUGAAUCUUUCAACUAGUUGAUGCAAAUAAUUGAAAUUUUACCUUGUCGUGCUUUAGAAGCACAAUAUUUAUUAAAUAUUGUUAUUCUAAAACGUGAUAAUUAUUUUAUUUCUUUUAAAGAUAACAAUAUUUAAUAAAUAUUGUAUUUUUAAAAUGCAAUAAAGUGAAAAUAUACCAUUUCAUUAAAAAAUUUGUUUCUCUACUAAUUUGCCAAUUAUUUUGAUUUUAUAUACUAUUUUUUCAAUUUAUCCCCCGUGUAACAUGGCUAGUAGUUACAAUGUGCUGGUUCUUUAAUUUUUUUUGUUCUCAAGUGUGAUACAUAACAAUUAAUUUUUUUGCCACGAUUGUUAUUUUGGAAAAAAAAAAAUCGUAUCUUGUGACACAUGCAAUGGAUCUACAAUUAUUAUUGUCUUCAGGAGGUAAUCCUGUCCGUUCCCUGUUUUUGAGUAGAUGCCUAGACAAAUGCUAAAAUGCUAUCCUUCCAGCCCCACUAUUAAAGAAAAACAAGUGGAUUUGCCUCCAAUAAUACUUGAGGCUCAAUUUUGAUUUUUAUAAAGCAAACCGUGUGCCUCUUACCAAAAACAAGUCUCCACUCCAGCUUUGUCGUCAUUGAAUAUGAUAAGAUGCAUGAAAAAGAAAUCCCCCAUUUUUUCUCCAUUUGUAUUUAUUGCCACCAAGUGGUCCUUGAUGGACAUAAAGAUUCAGUCCCAUCCUCAGUCCCAUCGUAGCCUAACUGCACUAAAAUAAUACCACUGGCUUUAACUUGUGCCAAAACCACCAGCCACAGCUUAUCCCUGGCUUCCGGUUUCCUCCAAUUUUCGGGUCCCCUAGUCCCCUCCUCUCUAUAUAAACAAUCCCCAGCCUGUCAUCUACACCAUCAAACACAAUUUCCCUUCUCAAUUACAUCUUAACUUUUUCAAAACAUUGUCCAUCUUCUAGCUGUUCAGUUCAAUCAAAAGAAAUAGAAAAAUGAGUUCAACAAGCAAAGCUUGGGCUGUUGCCACUAGUAUUGCAGCUGUGGAGGCUUUGAAAGAUCCAAGGAUUUUGCAGAUGGAACUACACAAUAAGAUCACUAUACCAACAUGCCAAGAACCAAGGCAAGUCAUCCUCUCUGCCCAAGAAGCUCUCUUCUCCAGUUUCUACUGUGGUUGCAAGUAAAGUAAGAGAGAAUCAGAAAGCAAGGCAAUCCGACGAGUCACUGAGGCAGGUCAUGUACUUGAGUUGCUGGGGUCCUUACUAGCUAGGCAGUAAACUACCAGCAAGGAACUAUGGCCAUGCAUGGACUGGUUGCAGCAUAGAGACAAUCGAAGUCUUUCCAAGAGAGACUCAUUUGGCGAAACAUGACAAGGCCGACUUCUUAUGGCGAUGGACGCUGGAACCCAUCAACGAUUAUUCAGCUUCAUUUGAAUGUUAUGCUCUAGCAAUACAUGUUUCAAUGAAUUGCUGAAUGAAGGGAGCAAAUUGUAAUUUUUCAGAAUGAAACGGCAUUUAAAAUUAGGACUCAAUUGAAUCAGUAAGCAAAUUACAUGAGUGGAUUAAAGUCUUGUUCUCUGCUUUUAGCCCAUAGGGAUUAAUUACUACGACGUCAAAACUUGUGUGCCUUCAUGAAACUUGGACAGUGUCAGAGUGGAUGAACCUAACACGACACUUUCUACUAUAAGUUUAUGUAUUGGGGUUAGGCUGCAGUCAAGUCUUGAGUAACAUGAUGUAAUUAAUUAACAAAAAUCAAACCGCGUGGGGUUUUCAAUGUUGAAGAAGCACAGUUUACUUUUUCGAAAGAGAUGAUUGGAUUUAAAAGGAAAAAAAAAAGGUAAAAUAAAUAAUGAUUUUGAAUUUUAUAUAAAAAGUUUAUCCGGGUCUUUUUUUUGUUUUGUUUUAUAGAUGAUUGGUUCUAAAUUUAAUUUUGAUAUUAAAAUUUAGUUUUUUUAUAUAUAAAUAUAAAAGGAGAGAGGAUUCUUGGAUUCUCAAUAAAAGAUAAAAUAAUUGUGUAAAUUAGUUUUAAUAGGUUCUAUUUUCAGUGACAUUUGAUUGACGGAUUCUGCAAAAAAACAAAUGUAGUUCGUUGUCUUUGUUUGAAAAAGACAAGCUAAGGCAGGCUGGCUGGAAGGCUUGCGUGUUUAGGCUUCUUUUGAAUUUUUUGUUUUUUUGUUAUUUUAUAUUUUGAUUAAAAAAAUUAUUAAAUUUAAUUAAGUUUACAAAUUUAACGAUGUUAUUAUUUAUAAAUUCUUUUUUAGUUUUUUUAAAAAUAAUUUUUUAUUAUCGAUAAUUUAUUUUUUUAACUCGAACAUAUAAAUGCAAUUUUAAUUUUAUUAUUUAUUAUUAAUGAUCUAUUUUUGUUAUUUUGGCACUACAUGGUUAUUAUAAUUUUAUUACUUAAAAAAAUGUUUUUAUACAAAAAAAUUAUCAAUGUGCUUUAUUGUUAUGUAAUUAAAUAAAAAAUAAUUUUUAUAAUAAAAAUUUAUUGAAUUUGAUGACUAACAUGGUUUGCAUUGUGAGUUUGACUGUCAAUUCGAGUUGAUUUAAUUUUUUUUAAUUAAAUGCUAUUUUUUUUUACUGGUUUUAUUCUUCAACAUUAAGUUAAUUUAGAAUUGAGCUUUUAAUUAUUUUUUUCAAAAUUAUCCCUACAAAUUUUAUAGGUGAAUCCAUGUUAACUUAGGUAAAUUAAUUGAGCUUUUAAUUAUUUUUUUCAAUCCAUGUUAACUUAGGUAAAUUAAAUGUUUUUAGUUAAAAUUUAAUUUAUUUAAAAAACAUAUUACUAAUAUCUAAAUCAUAGUUUUAAGACCCGGCCCGGUCCAAGGCCCGGGUUCCGGGUUUUGACCGGGUCACCGGGUCGUCGGGUCAAAAUUUAUUUUUUAAUUUUUUUAAAAAAAAUCAAAACGACGUCGUUUUAGCAAAAAAAAAAAACAAAAGUCAAUGGGUUUGGGGUUGGGUGUUGACCGGGUCUUGCCGGGUCAACCGGGUCGACCCGCCGGGUCUGGCCGGGCCAAUUUCCAGGCCGGUUUUGGCCUUCACCCUGACCGGUCCCAUGCCCGGGUUGGCCGGGUCCCGGGUUGACCCGCCGGACCGGUCCGAGUUUUAAAACUAUGAUCUAAAUAAUUGUUUUCCUUAAAAUAUGCCACAACCCAUGGCAUAGCGCUGGAGUUUAAAGCUCUGUAAAAGGAAUUCUCAAGUUAGAACAAAUAUUUGGAGUAAUUAUUCAUAAUCUUUCGUAAAAUAAGAAAACCAAUAUAUUUUCUGAUCACAGUCCACGUCGUUUCCAUGUCAACAUUAUGCAUCGCGAGUCAUUUUUGCUUUUUUGAAGCCUUGCAACUAAAGUUAUUAAAUUGGAUAUGCUAAUAACUAAUUUUAAGAUUUGGAUUAAACAAGUUAAUUUGAAUUGAUUUUAUUAAUUAAAAUGAUAUUAUUUAAUUUAUUUUUUAAAUUAAAUCAAGUUUGAAACUAAUUCAAUCAGGUGAUAAUUUGAUCCAUCAUAUUUUUUAGUUUAACUAAGUUAACUAUCAUCUACUUUUAAAAGAAAUUAACUUGAUUCAGGUUUAAUAAUAAUUAUCAAGAACUGUUUUUUCCUUAAAUUUUACUUUUUUAUUAUUAUUGAUAUAUAGAUUGUUAGAGAAUAAUAUAAAUUAUAUUUUAAGACCUCACCUAAUAGUUUAAGCUAUUAAGUUGAGAUGGUUUUUUGACAAGGUAUCAGAGUCUUAAUGAUCAAGCGGUCACAAACUUGAAUCUCAUUAUCCCUAUUUAUUUAAUAAAAAUCAAGCACAAUGUAACGUAAAUCUGUGCAAGUUUCAAGCCUAAAUGAUUUUUAUUUGAUAGGGGUGUGUUAGAAAAUAAUAUAAAUUAUAUCUUGAAAUCUCACCUAAUAAUUUAAAUUAUGUACGAGUUUCAAGUCUAAAUAGUUUUUAUUUAAGAUAAAUAUGUUAAAAAAUAAUAUAAAUUAUAUCAUAAAUCUUAUCUAAAUAUUUAAAUUAUUAAAUUGAGAUUUUUUUUUUUUAAUAUGGAUGGAUUCAUAAUUAUUGCGUUCAUGAUGUGAUCCUAUAUACUUUUCCUGUUUUUGAGUAGACGUCUAGACAAAUGCCAAGAAUUCUUAUCCUUCUAUCCCAUCUCAUGAACAAAAACCGAGUGCCUUAACCUUUCGUAAACAAGUCCCUUUCUAGUUUUGUCAUGAUCCCUGAUUUCCUCCUCCUCCUCUGUAUUUUAGGCAGCCAAAUGGUCCUUCCUCGUUCAAGAAACAAUGGUCCUUCCUAGGUAUUAGAUUCAUCCCGUCCACUAAAUAAUACCAUUGGCUUUCUCACUUCAGCCGAAACCACCAUCGACAACCUGUGCUAGUUUUUGGUUUCCUCCAAACCUUUGGGCCUCUACUCUCUAUAUAAGCAAAACCUAAAGCUUGGUUGCGCCAGCAAACAAAAUCCUAUAUUACAUCUUAUCCUUCUCAACUAAAAAUUGUCCUUUUUUGUUGUUGUUCUAGUGCAAAGAAAGGGUAAAGAAAGAUGAUUUCAGCAAGAUCGUUCCAUCAGAACGCCAAGAACCAAGUCAAGUCAAUCUCUCAGGCCAAGAAGCUGUCUUCUCCAACUUCUAGUACUGUGGUUUCAAGCAAAGUAAAAGAAAACCAGAAAGCAACGCAAGCAGAGGAGUCCCUGAGGAGAGUCAUGUACUUGAGCUGCUGGGGUCCUUACUAGUUAAUUGAUAAACUACUAGCUAGCAGAGGAACUAUGGUCAUGGAAUGGUGACAGCAAAGAGGCGAUCAAAGAGUUUCGAAGGCAAGGGGCCGACUGCUUAUCAACAAUCAGAUUCUGCUCUAGCAAUUGUUUUUAAAUGGAAUAUUGUAGUUUAAUGAAUUGCUAGAUGACGGGAGAAAGUUUUCUUAAUUUCUGCAUGUUGAUGUAAAUUGUACUUUUUUUGCUGAAUUUUGUACAUAAUCAACCUGUAAUGUAAGAGCCUUACUAUGAUCAAAGUAAUAUUAUAGAGUGCAAGUAUAAUUAUCUAGUCAACUCUUUCUCGUGCAUAUAUAUGAAAAAAAAGGAGAAAUUUAGUAACCAAUCCAACCUUUAUACAAUAUAGUUUCAUGAUAAAACUCGAUUAAUUAGUAGUUUAUGCAAUUCUGAUACAUAUAUAUCUAACAAUUUUAUCAAUCAAGGUGUUUUUUUUUUUUUAAAAAAAAAGUAGAUGGACUAGCUUUUCCAAAUUCGUCAAUUGGAGGCGGCGGCAUUUCAGACUGUGUUUAUGUUCUGUUUGUUAUUGAAAAAUAAAAUGAUUUUGGAAAAUAAUUUGCAUAAAAACUUGAUAAAGAUUUGAUCAAAACUUAAUAUAGCUGCCGUUAAUUUGCGUAUUCGAUCGUGCCCGCAAUAUCCAAACAUGACUUUAUCUCCAAUCAUCAUUCAGUCGAAGUUUAACAAAUUAAAGAUUAAUUUAAAGUUUGAGUUUUUUAAUCUUCAAUUUCAAAUGCUUUUUUGAAAGACAGAUAAUGUUGGAUAUAAACGGGCGGCCCGUGCCGACUUAAUAUUUUUUCAAUAAGAUAAUGCAAGUGUUAUAAAAUAUGAAAACAAAAAAUUGAGAUUCGGUUCAUUGUAUUGUUUUCAUUGUAUCUAAUAAGUUUGACGAAUUUAAAUAAUAUGAAUAAAAAAUAUAAUAAUAAUAAAUUAAUUAAAAAAAAUCUGAGACCCGAGUUAUUAAUUUGAUAGGUUAAAAAAACUUAGUUAAUUUAAUAAUAUAAUUUAAAAAAAUAUCAACAAAAAAUAGAAAUUAUUAGCUAGUUAUAAAAAAACGAGUUGUUAAUAUCAUACUUGAAAUAAAAAGAAAGAAUAUCUUGAUAGACUCACCGUUGCUCUUCCAUGAACAUCAUCUUACCACAAAGAAAAGCUUACCAAGACAGUUUUAAUGCCACCGUGAAAGGUUGGAUGACGACACUAAAAGAGACCGCACGUGCCAUAAGAGCAAUGAUUUAGAAAGAAAAUCAAUGAAAAACCAUGAAGUAAGCAUUCCAUACUUAUAUUUAAUCAAUUUAUUUAAUUUAAUAAAAAAACAUAAUUUCUCUAAAUAAAAGCUAAAUCUAAUAAAACAAAUAACAAAUAAAGAGACUCGAGGUAACUUGAGUUAUUUUUAAAACUAAUGAAAAUUUCUAUAGAAAGAAAAUAAGAAAAAUGAGCUUAAUAAAAGCAAACAUGUGCGAGUCUCUUAAAUCUAGGUUAAUCCGCCAAACUCGUAACUUGUAAAAUCCUAAACUCAAGGUCAAUAUAGAAACUUAAUUCCUAACCAAUUUAAUAUUGAAAUAUGAAAUAAAAAAAAUUAUCAAUUUAGAAAAUUUGUCAAAGUAGAAAAAAUAGCAAUAAAAAAUAAGAAUAAAAUCUAACCUGAAAAAAUAACAUGAGGAUGAAAUGGUAAAAAAAAUCAAUUUUACAUAUCAUUUUAAAUAAAAUAAAUAGCAAUCUAAAUAAUAAGACCAAAUCUAACAUAUGAAAAAAAAUUAAAAGAGAAUGUAAUUGAAAAACAAAAUUCCAAUUAUAUAAAUUAUUUUAAAUAAAAUCAAUAGUAAUCAAAAGAAUACGAACUAAAUAUGAAAGAAAAAUAAAUCGAGGAGUUGAUUUGAAAACUUGAAAGGUCAAUGUGAAAUCAAGGAGGAGAGAGAAAAAAAAUGAUCAUCAAUGUCAAAUCGAAGGUUCAUUGGUUACAUGCACUGCCUAGAGAUGGAGGGGUUGUAGAGAUGAUUUGACUGCUGCCCUAAAAGUCACCAUUUAACCGCCAAACACUGCAGCAUGCAUAACACAACACAACACAAGAACAACCUAUGUACUGACACGUGUAAUGAACCCAUCAAUGAUUUUAUUUUUAAAUGUUUAUAUAUUUUAAAAGAUCAAAUCUAUCAUAAUUUAAAUGGAUUAUAACAAAAAAAAAGAAGAUAAAAACACACAAAAGCUCAUUGGCAUUAGUUAAAGAAUUUUUGCUUGCAAGGGUUUAUUAUUCAUUUUACUAUAUCUAAAAAAGUAAAAAGACAUAUAAGUCCUUGACACCAACUUAAAAUUUUUUUUUUCUUUAAAGGCUUUUUAGUUAUUUUAUUGAGCAAAAAAUAUAUAUAAAAAAACUAAUUUGCCCUUCACCAAUUUAAUAAUGACCAAUUUGAUAAAAAUUUCUCAAUUGGAUCUCUUUAUUAAAAAUAACCCGAUCAAUUCACACCAUUAAAAUUUAUGCUUAAAACGACAUCUUCUUAAAACAAAUAAGUUCUUGGUAUAAUUUUAAAAGAAACUUUUUAUGGCAAGACUUAAUUUGACAAUAUCCAAUAGAUAAAGCACUCAAAUGUAUUCAUCUCUUUUUUUUCUUCUUCCUUUUUAUUUUUAGGACAUAGCCAUAGAUAUAAAACCCGGCCUUACAUAUUGAUUUAGAACUUGGACUACCUAGGGCCUUGGCAGGGUUUUAAAUGAUCUAAACCCGAGUUUGUAAUUAGCCUGGUAAAACCCAGGUGACCUGUCGGAUCAACUCAAAACUUAGGUGACCUGGUUUACCCGGGCUCUUUUUGUUUUUUUUACAAUUUUGUUUAAUAAAAUCCAAAAAAUAUAAAGUUAAUUUAUGAUUACUUGGUCUCAUAUAUUUUUUUUCUAUAACUUACAUCCUUAUAAAAUAUUUUUUAACUUUUCCAUGUGAAAUAAUUAUAUUUAUAACCUAAAUUCCAUGAAUUGUUUCUUAAUAUUUUGAUAGCCAUGUAUAUAGUCAUAAAAAAUAUAAAAUGUUUUUUUUAACUUUUUUAUGUGAUAGUCAUACCGCAUCAAAAAGUUAAGAAAUAUUUUUAUAUUUAUAUUUAUAUAGUUUAUAUGUAUACUUAUCCUAUGUUUUAUUUAUUAUUUAUUAUUUAUUAUUUAUUAAUUUAAUAUAAAUCAACCUAAAUUGACUGAAAAAAAUAAAAAUCUCAUUUCUUAGCCGCGUACACCCAGAGUAAGGUUUAAUACCUAUAUACACAGCAUCUACCUUUAUAUUUUAUCUUGAGGAUGCCCUCGUGUACAUUUUCUGGUUUUGAGUAGAAAGAAGUUAAAAUUCUAUCCUUCUAGCCUCGCUCUUGAACAUGGAUUUGCCUUCGAUAGUUAGGCUCAAUUUGGAUUUUUAUAAAGAAAAAUUGAGUGGCCAUUAGUGGUGAGGUUGUUUUUAAAUUUUUUUUUAUUUAAAAAUAUAUUAAAAUAAUAUCUUUAUAUUUCUUAAAAUUUAUUUUUAAUAUUAACAUAACAAUUUUAAAAAUUUAAAAAUUUACAAAACUACAACUCAACGCAAAACAUCCUCAUAGUACAAAUCACAUUCAUGCUUUGUCAUGAUCGAACAUGCUAAAAUGUAUAAAAAACUCCAAUUUUUUAUUUUAUUAUUAUUUUGUCACUGUCUGCUUAGUGAUUUAUGCCAUCAAGUGAGUGGUCCUUAAAAUAAUACCAUUGGCUUUCUAAAGCCAAAACCACCAGCUGCAGCCUGUACCCAGUUUCUGGUUUCCUUCAAGCUUACGGCCCCUUAGACUCUAUAUAAGCAAAUCCCAGUAUACCAUUUGAACCAUCAAACACAAAUCCUCAAUUACUUCUGAACUUUUUCAACUAAAACUUUCUCCAUUUUUUUUGUUGUUCUACUCGUACAAAGAAAGAAAGAAGGUAGAAAAAUGAGUUCGGCAAGCAGAGCUUGGGCUGUAGCCGCUAGUAUGGCAGCUGUGGAGGCCUUGAAAGAUCAAGGGUUCUGUAGAUGGAACUACACAAUAAGAUCACUACACCAACAUGCCAAGAACCAAGUGAAGUCAAUCUCUCAGACCAAUAAGCUCUCUUCUCCAGCUUCUACUGUGAUUUCUCGUAAAGUAAGAGAAAAUCAGAAAGCAAAGCAAUCGGAGGAGUCACUGAGGAAAGUCAUGUACUUAAGUUGUUGGGGUCCUUACUAGUUGAUUACUGAACUACUAGCAGAGGAACUAUAAUCAUGGAUCGGUGACCACAGAGGCAACCAAAGAACUCCAAGGGACACUUGUCUGAACAGACAUCACAAGGCCAACUGCUUCUGGAGCUGGAACCCAUCAACAAUUAUGAUUAUCUCGAUCAGCUUAAUUUAUCAUCAGUAGCAAUUGUAUUUCAAUCGAAUGUUUUUGAAUAAAUUGCUAAUGAUGGGGGAAAAUGCAUGUUUUUAACGCUGCCAGUUCAUAUAUAAAUUGUAAAUUUUGAACCUAUAAUGGAAGAGCUUUGAAAGGUUUGCUAUGAUAGAGGAAAUCAUGAUAGCAUACAGUGGAAUAUAUAUAUAUAUAUAUAUAUAUAUAUAUAUAUAUUCUAUCAUAACAUUUAUUUAAUAAGGCUCUUUUUUGAUAACUUCUAUUAAAAUCUAUUUUUGUUAUGGUGAUAAUGUGAUUUUAAAAAAAUAAAAAUUACAUAGAGAACUUGAUAGGUUUUCGCCAAAAUUUAACUGGAGUAUUUUGAUCAUCAACGUCUAUUUGCGUUUUCAAGCCAUCUAAACUCAUUUUUUUUCCAACGCAAAUCUCACCCCAACAUACUACACAUAACUUUAUUUCCUUUCAAUAUUCACCAUUAGAGUUGCAGUUCAAUAAAUUAUUAAAUUUAAACGUUUGGGUUUAUCAAUGAAAUUUAACAAGAAGACAGUUAAAAAAAUUAAAUACAAAAUCUUAAAUAAAAGUUAUGAAAAAAAUAUUAAUUUAAAAUAAAAAAUAUAAACCUGAAACUUAUUCCGACCAAUUUUCUUCAAUCAAGAUAUUCAAAUUUUUACUAUUUGAUCAAAAAUAUUAUAAUAUAUAUAUCAUAUUAAAAAAUUAAAUUUAUAAUCAAAUUCUUAAAAAUAAUUUAAUAUUAAAUUUUAACACUUACCAAAUUCCAUAGAACGAAUUCAAAAUCAAUAUCAAUAAAGUUUAAAGUACUUUAGAUAGAAACAAAAUAAAGGGUUAAAUUGUUAUUUUCUAACCAAUAAAAACUAUAUUUUUAUGUUUUAAAAAUAUUUUUAAAUUUUUAUUUUCUUACAUCGUUUUAAUAUAUUGAUAUCAAAAGUUAAUUUUUUUAAAUAAAAAAAUAUUAUAAUAUAUUUUUAAAUAAAAAAACUUUAAACACAACUAAAACUGUAUUUUUAAAAAAUAAAAAUAAUUCUGCGCCCCUUGUUGAGAGUCGAGACCUUGGUUCUGGUGAUACAUGCCAUGAAUGCAUGGUAAUCGACUAUUCAAAGAAAAUGAUUGGAUUUUUACAAAAGAAAACCGUGUGUUGCUCAUCAGCAACAGCUCACACUCUAGCCUUUUCAUGAUUUAAAAAAAAAAGUGUGCUUGAGAUACCAUUUUCUCCAACCUGUAGUUUUUGACAUUAAUGAAAAUCUUAUCCUAACACGACCCCACUAAUAAAAAACACAAGAAAACAUCUCAUUGGCUUCCACUUUGCCUAAACCAGCGGCUAACAUCCUGAUCUUGUAGGCUCUAGUUUUCUCCCAAAGCUUCUGGCCCUUUCUGUACUCUCUAUAUAAGCAAACCCCUGCUUGCCAUUUUCACGAUCAAGCACAAAAGCUCGAUAGAUUAUACCUCGUCUUCCUGAACUAAAAGAUUCUCCGUCCUUCUGUUCUAGUACAGAGAAGAAAAUAGAAAAAAAAUGAGUUCAACAAGCAAAGCUUGGAUGGUAGCCUUUGGUAUUGCAGCUGUGGAGGCAAUGAAAGAUCAAGGGUUUUGCAGAUGGAACUACACAAUAAGAUCAUUACACCAUCAUGCCAAGAACAAAGUUAGGUCAAUGUCUAAGGCCAGGAAGCUGUCUUCUCCGACUUCUAACGUGGUUUCAAGUAAAGUAAGAGAAAAUCAGAAGGCAAAGCAAUCAGAGGAGUCACUAAGGACAGUCAUGUACUUAAGUUGUUGGGGUCCCUACUGAUGUUGUUGAUGGUUAUAGAAGACAAAGAUCAAACUGUUUGUAGAGUUCCCAUCAAAGAUUUUGAUCAGCCAUGAUCAGAUUCUAGCUACUCCAGGACCAUCAAUUGUAAAUCUGUCAUUUUUUGUUUAUUAAAGCAUAUAAAUCUUUAAUUUGAUUAUAAACUGCUAUUCAUGUAAAAUAUAAAAAAAAUUAUAUAGAUUUUAUUUUUCAC